rnacentral:rRNA from 1 species
UACGUAGGGGGCUAGCGUUGUCCGGAUUUACUGGGCGUAAAGAGCGUGUAGGCGGCCAGAUAGGUCUGCUGUGAAAACUCGAGGCUCAACCUCGAGAUGUCGGCGGAAACCAUUUGGCUAGAGUCCGGAAGAGGAAAGUGGAAUUCCUGGUGUAGCGGUGAAAUGCGCAGAUAUCAGGAAGAACACCCGUGGCGAAGGCGGCUCUCUGGAACGCAACUGACGCUGAGACGCGAAAGCGUGGGGAGCAAACAGG